UAACAAAUUGAUUGUCGGAUUAGGUAAGGAAGCUGGUGUAAAUCCAGCUCUGUGCCGCAACCGUAUAGAACGUUAGAGCUAGUACUCUAGCGGGCGAAGACGGGAACUUACUUUUUCUUUGACUUUUACACUAGCUCUCCGAGACAGAGGGCGAAGGGGUUU
rnacentral:sRNA from 2 species